GCCUCUUGUGUGUGAUUGACAGCUCUGCCAGGGCAGGGGGCGAGGCUCUGUCCCACCACAAACCAAGGCUUGACCCAGCCCUGGCCCCACACGAGCAUUCCGAGCAUCCCAAGGUGUCUCGGGACACCGAUCUCAUCCAGCCUCUGACAGCAACCACAGUGACGCUACAGAACCUCAUGGAACCAUGGGUCAGUUGUGACACUCUGGUGCCUCAUGGAAUCAAGGAGACCAUUGUGAAACCUGGGGUGCCCAAGGAGGCAAGGGUCCAUGGUAACCUUGUGGAGCCCGCAGUGUCACAGAAGAGGCAUUGUGAAACAGCAAGGGCACAGGGAGCCCAGGGGCCAUGGUGACACAUCAGGGCUUUGUGGAAUCAUGAAGCAUGGUGACAUUGCAAGGCCUCAUGGGAGCACAGGGCCAUUGUGACACUGCAGAAGCAGGGGGAACAUUGUGACACUCCAGGGCCUCAUGGAACUAAGGAGACCAUUGUGACACUGUGGGGUCCCAAGAAACCAAUGGACCAUGGAACAAGUCUGGCUGGCUGGGCCUCAUGGGGACCACCUGACAGGUAAAAACCAUCCAUCCUGACAAGGUGCCCAUGGCCAAAACUGGGAUUGCACCUCCAAAACUCCAUACAUCCAAGGAUUGCUCCCAAAUGAAAGCUGCCAGGACAGACAGGUCUGGCUGCCCUUGGCCUCUUGGGGGCUGCCUCUCACCUGUUUUUCAAACACUGGGGCUCUGUGCUUUUCUUCCAAUGGAAAAGAACUGUCCUUCUUCUCAAAGUGUCCAUAGUCAAAAUUGAGAUUCCUUCUCCCAAAUUCCACAUAUACAAGGAUUCCUCCAUAAUAAAAACUGCCAGGACAAAUAGGUCUGGCUGGCUUGGCCUCCCAGGAGCCACCUCUCUCUUUUUCUGUCUUUGAAACCCUUGGUCUCUGGGCUUUUCUUCCUAGGGAAAAGAACCACCCUUCUUGUCUAUAUAGAAAUGGCCAAAAUUGGGAUUCCACCUCCCAAAUUCCUUAUAUCCUAGGGUUGCUGUCAGACAAAAGCUACCAGGACAGAGGUCUGGCUGGCCUAGACCUCUGAUGGCCGCCUUUCAUCUGCCCCGCAAACACCGGUGUUCUGUGCUUUCCUUCCCAUGGAAAAGAACCGUCCUCUUCUGGGAGUCCAUGUCUGAAAUUGGGAUUCCACCUCUAAAAUUUUGUAUAUCCAAGGGU